GAUGAACGCUGGCGGCGUGCCUAAUACAUGCAAGUCGAGCGAACGGACGAGAAGCGUGCGUCUCUGAUGUUAGCGGCGGACGGGCGAGUAACAUGUGUAUAACCUAACUAUAAGACGGGGAUAACUUCGGGAAACCGGAGCUAAUACCGGAAGAUAUUUGGAAACGCAUGGUUCAAAAGUGAAAGACGGUCUUGCUGCCACAGAUAGACGGAUCCGCGCUGCAUUAGCUAGUUGGUAAGGUAACGGCUUACCAAGGCAACGAUGCAUAGCCGACCUGAGAGGGUGAUCGGCCACACUGGAACUGAGACACGGUCCAGACUCCUACGGGAGGCAGCAGUAGGGAAUCUUCCGCAAUGGGCCAAAGCCUGACGGAGCAACGCCGCGUGAGUGAUGAAGGUCUUCGGAUCGUAAAACUCUGUUAUUAGGGAAGAACACAUGUGUAAGUAACUGUGCACAUCUUGACGGUACCUAAUCAGAAAGCCACGGCUAACUACGUG
rnacentral:rRNA from 1 species